CCUACGGGAGGCAGCAGUGAGGAAUAUUGGUCAAUGGCCGGAAGGCUGAACCAGCCAAGCCGCGUGAAGGACGAAGGUGCCAAGCAUUGUAAACUUCUUUUGUCAAGGGACAAAAUCAGGCUCGAGAGCCUGACCGAGGGUACUUGAAGAAAAAGCAUCGGCUAACUCCGUGCCAGCAUCCGCGGUAAUACGGAGGAUGCGAGCGUUAUCCGGAUGUAUUGGGGUUAAGGGGUUCGUCGGCGGGCUGUUAAGUCAGCGGUAAAAGCCCGGGGCUCAACCCCGGCGAGCCGUUGAAACUGGCUGUCUUGAGAUGUCGAGAGGUAUGCGGAAUGCGCAGUGUAGCGGUGAAAUGCUUAGAGAUUGCGCAGAACUCCGAGUGCGAAGGCAGCAUACCGGCGGCGAUCUGACGCUGAGGCACGAAAGCGUGGGUAUCGAACAGGAUUAGAUACCCGAGUAGUC
rnacentral:rRNA from 1 species